rnacentral:rRNA from 1 species
GAGUCGUAUUACNNUUCNCUGGGCGUCGUUUUACANACUGCUAAUACCGCAUAAUGUCUACGGACCAAAGGGGGGGCUCUUCGGACCUCUUGCCUAANNNNUAGCCCAAGUGAGAUUAGCUAGUUGGUGGGGUAAAGGCCUACCAAGGCGACGAUCUCUAGCUGGUUUGAGAGGAUGAUCAGCCACACUGGGACUGAGACACGGCCCAGACUCCUACGGGAGGCAGCAGUGGGGAAUAUUGCACAAUGGGGGAAACCCUGAUGCAGCCAUGCCGCGUGUGUGAAGAAGGCCUUCGGGUUGUAAAGCACUUUCAGUUGUGAGGAAAGGGAUGUAGUUAAUACCUACAUUCUGUGACGUUAGCAACAGAAGAAGCACCGGCUAACUCCGUGCCAGCAGCCGCGGUAAUACGGAGGGUGCGAGCGUUAAUCGGAAUUACUGGGCGUAAAGCGUGCGUAGGCGGUUAUAUAAGCUAGAUGUGAAAGCCCGGGGCUUAACCUCGGAACUGCAUUUAGAACUGUAUGACUAGAGUUUUGUAGAGGGUGGUGGAAUUUCCAGUGUAGCGGUGAAAUGCGUAGAGAUUGGAAGGAACAUCAGUGGCGAAGGCGGCCACCUGGACAAAAACUGACGCUGAGGCACGAAAGCGUGGGUAGCAAACAGGAUUAGAUACCCUGGUA